GACGAACGCUGGCGGCGUGCUUAACACAUGCAAGUCGAACGCUGAAGCUCAGCUUGCUGGGUGGAUGAGUGGCGAACGGGUGAGUAACACGUGAGUAACCUGCCCUCUUCUUUGGGAUAACGCCCGGAAACGGGUGCUAAUACUGGAUAUUCAUUGAUUCUCGCAUGGGGGUUGGUGGAAAGGUUUUUUCUGGUGGGGGAUGGGCUCGCGGCCUAUCAGCUUGUUGGUGGGGUGAUGGCCUACCAAGGCUUUGACGGGUAGCCGGCCUGAGAGGGUGACCGGUCACAUUGGGACUGAGAUACGGCCCAGACUCCUACGGGAGGCAGCAGUGGGGAAUAUUGCACAAUGGGCGAAAGCCUGAUGCAGCGACGCCGCGUGAGGGAUGGAGGCCUUCGGGUUGUAAACCUCUUUCGCUCAUGGUCAAGCCGCAGCUUUGGGUUGUGGUGAGGGUAGUGGGUAAAGAAGCGCCGGCUAACUACGUG
rnacentral:rRNA from 1 species